rnacentral:rRNA from 1 species
UGUCCUACGGGAGGCAGCAGUGGGGGAUAUUGCACAAUGGGGGAAACCCUGAUGCAGCGACGCCGCGUGAGUGAAGAAGUCAUUCGUGAUGUAAAGCUCUAUCAGCAGGGAAGAAAAUGACGGUACCUGACUAAGAAGCCCCGGCUAACUACGUGCCAGCAGCCGCGGUAAUACGUAGGGGGCAAGCGUUAUCCGGAUUUACUGGGUGUAAAGGGAGCGUAGACGGCCAGGCAAGUCUGGAGUGAAAGCCCGGGGCUCAACCCCGGGACUGCUUUGGAAACUGCAGGGCUGGAGUGCAGGGGGGG